AUAAAGUGGACGGGAAGACGACCGCCGCCGUAGCUCAAUUGGUAGAGCAUCGGACGCGUUAUUCGAAGGUUGCAGGUUCGGUCCCUGCCGGCGGCAAGUUAUCUUAUCGUCCACUUUCAAUUUCUCCGUGUUUGUAUCAUAAUUACUACAAAUAGCAUCCCCUAUUCUUUCCUUGGUUUCAUUGUCUGUUGGUUCUCAUUAAUGAUACACUAAUGUAAUUCAUAUGGUUUCAGUCGUUUGUGUGUACAGCAUUUAGUCAAGAAACUUGUCUCGGGCUACAUCUUGACAGUUUUGGUGGAAAAGAAAGAGAAUAUACUUGUAGACGUUCGCAGUACCUUGCAGUUCGAGUCGGUUAGGGGCCAUAAAUCAAAUAUAACUCAACUUAUCGUGUACGCUAUUCGUUGUUACAAGAAUUCACUUUGAUGAAGUUUGCGAGCGUGCUACGUGUGUUCACCUGCUGUAACGGGAUUACGGACACGUGUAGCCGUCUCGCUCUCUCAACUGCUCGCACUUGUUGAUCGCCACUUAUAUACGCAUGUAGGCAUUGUUGCUGAGGGUUGAAUGGGCUUGCGCUUAUCUACAUCAUGUUAAGGUGUCGUGCUCUUCCCUUACUGUCGAUUGACUUCACCUAAACCAGCGUUAGUGUCAUACAAAAAUGAGACUCCCCAUGGAAGCGCUAGAUUGAUUCCUGUAACGUUCCCUAAAGGGACACUAAAGAGACAAGCGGUUUUUCUUGUAUUAGCAAAUUACAAUUUAACAAUACUGCAAGCAUCACGUUUACCGCGAGAAGACGCAGGGUAAGCGAGAAAAUGCGCGAAAGAAACAUACGGGUGGAGACGCCACCUUCAAUUUCCUGCACUAGCUCGCCGUGACGUCACAGAUUUUGACGGCGACUGCUAGGGCCUACGCAAUUGUUUAUCGGUAAAAAGAUUGCUCACGUAUUGUUCUGAGGGACCCAACCUAUUAACAAGUUUUGAAAAAUUUCACUGAAUCAAUGUGACCAAAUUACUCAAAAACACUGAGAUUUGUGUCGUCACACUGACGUUCAAGUGCUGAAGUUUCGGCGCGAAAUUGAAAUAUGAAACUUUGAACAUCACUUUCUCUUAUUAUCAUUGUGUUAUGGUGGGUAAAUUAAUGACAGUAGGUUUCUUAAAGAAUACUUUGCUUGUAUAAACUGAUUUAAUGCUGCGCUUUAGUGUCCCUUUGAAAAAAGACGGAACUCUCCCAUAGUAUACCACUCUGGUAGACAUUACACUGCAAUAAUAUGCCCUGUUAAAACGAAGAACCGGUACAUUUCGAAACGUCUGUGUCUAGGAAUCACGUAUGAUCACGUAUAUUUGCUUGUGACGACGCAUACGAAUACGUAUGAUCGCAGGAGAGUAAUUCUUUGGGCGAGUAGGUGAUACGCGUUAAAAGUAAACACAGCACAACAGCGCUUCGUCUCUCGUCUUUGCUAUUUCUUGCUUUUAUAUGUGUUGUUAUGCGCUGUUAACUUCAAACACGUAUGAUAGUACGGGUUUACCUUACAAGGAUGUUAUAGGCCACAUAUAAAUCAUUUUUAACGGGAAUUCAACAUAACCUCACAUCAAUGUAUUGAUUACUGUCUGCUAAGGGUCAUAUAUCGAUUCUGUCUUAAUGGGGCAGCCAUUUCAUAUUAGCUUCCUUGUUGUAAAGCUCUUAUCAUAUCACUAUCCACUUGAUAUAACAAAUCUGCGUUUCUUUGUUUGUGCCUGAAGUGUAUAUUUGCAUUUACUAACCUCAGACCGGGGGUGAGGGGGGGGGGGGGGGCAAGUGGGAUGAUUGAUAAGCCACUUACGGUCUUAUCCGCAAUACGGGUCUUAUCUGCGAGAUCUUCAAGCAGAUGAACCUUUGCUUAUUGUAUGUUAUCAUGGCGAGCACUGACAUACCGUUACCUAAGCCUGCAGUGUUAUGUACAAACACGUUGAACAAUGUAUUACUGCCACAUGAAAUGCUAUUAAAACACCCUAUAGCCAGUUGAAAAAAAGAA